rnacentral:misc_RNA from 1 species
AACGAGGCCGACCUGCGGCUGAGUUACCUGCGGAAGGAUCAUUACAGAGUUCAUGCCCUCACGGGUAGAUCUCCCACCCUUGAAUACUAUACCUUUGUUGCUUUGGCGGGCCGCUUUGGCUACUGGCUCUGGCUAGUAAGUGCCCGCCAAAGAACCCUAAAACUCUGAAUAUUAGUGUCGUCUGAGUACUAUAUAAUAGUUAAAACUUUCAACAAUGGAUCUCAGAUCGGAAGAGCACAC